CAGCAGCCACGGGAAUACGAAGGGGGCUAGCGUUGUUCGGAUUUACUGGGCGUAAAGCGCACGUAGGCGGACUUUUAAGUCAGGGGUGAAAUCCCGGGGCUCAACCCCGGAACUGCCUUUGAUACUGGAAGUCUUGAGUAUGGUAGAGGUAAGUGGAAUUCCGAGUGUAGAGGUGAAAUUCGUAGAUAUUCGGAGGAACACCAGUGGCGAAGGCGGCUCACUGGACCAUUACUGACGCUGAGGUGCGAAAGCGUGGGGAGCAAACAGGAUUAGAUACCCCUGUAGUCCCUGUCUCUUAUAC
rnacentral:rRNA from 1 species